UUUGAGCAAAUUAAACUUUUCAUUCAGUUUAAUUUGGGUAGCACGGGUUAUCCCUUAGUUAUGAGUAUUUUAGUGUCUUUAAAUGAUAAGACUAUAAAUUUUCAUUCACCGAUAAUUAUCAACCAAAUGCAUGACACAAUCCAAUUUCAAGAUAACUAAUGCCAAUACAUAAAUAACAAAAAAAAGUCUCUUUCUAGCUAUC
rnacentral:lncRNA from 1 species